rnacentral:rRNA from 1 species
CCUACGGGAGGCAGCAGUAGGGAAUCUUCCACAAUGGGCGAAAGCCUGAUGGAGCAACGCCGCGUGGGUGAAGAAGGUCUUCGGAUCGUAAAACCCUGUUGUUAGAGAAGAAAGUGCGUGCGAGUAACUGUUCAAGUUUCGACGGUAUCUAACAAGAAAGCCACGGCUAACUACGUGCCAGCAGGCGCGGUAAUACGUAGGUGGCAAGCGUUAUCCGGAUUUAUUGGGCGUAAAGGGAACGCAGGCGGUCUUUUAAGGCUGAUGUGAAAGCCUUCGGCUUAACCGGAGUAGUGCAUUGGAAACUGGGAGUCUUGAGUGCAGAAGAGGUGAGUGGAACUCGAUGUGUAGCGGUGAAAUGCGUAGAUAUAUGGAAGAACACCAGUGGCGAAAGCGGCUCUCUGGUCUGUAACUGACGCUGAGGUUCGAAAGCGUGGGUAGCAAACAGGAUUAGAUACCCCUGUAGUC